UCCUACGGGGGGCAGCAGUGAGGAAUAUUGCACAAUGGACGCAAGUCUGAUGCAGCAACGCCGCGUGGAGGAUGACGGUCUUUGGAUUGUAAACUCCUUUUUUCAGGGAAGAGAAUGGACGGUACCUGAAGAAUAAGUCACGGCUAACUACGUGCCAGCAGCCGCGGUAAUACGUAGGUGGCAAGCGUUAUCCGGAAUUACUGGGCGUAAAGCGCACGCAGGCGGUCUUUUAAGUUUGACGUGAAAGCUCUCGGCUUAACGGGGAGAGGUCGUUGAAUACUGGGAGACUUGAGGCAAUGAGAGGGGUGUAGAAUUCCCGGUGUAGUGGUGGAAUGCGUAGAUAUCGGGGGGAAUACCAGUGGCGAAAGCGGCACCCUAGCGUUGUUCUGACGCUCAUGUGCGAAAGCGUGGGGAGCGAACGGGAUUAGAUACCCGUGUAGUCCCC
rnacentral:rRNA from 1 species